rnacentral:lncRNA from 1 species
CAGGUAUCAAGUAAUCCACCACGGCUAGGGCAGAUGAAAAAAAAAUCAUCCACUAUUUUUGUUUCUGCUGCAAUUUGAACCUAAGGUCUCAUGAUCCUCAACCACUUCCAUUAACCAUUAGGCCACACUUCCAUCAACACUUACUCUACCAGUUACACUACAUUAUCGAUCUGGUAAAAUAGCAGGUAGAGAAUUUUCUGUAAUCAUCUAUCCUUCAAACUUCUGGCAACCGUUCCUUCUCCACCUGAAACUGCGAUCAUCCAGUUCUGACAAGUAGUGCUGAGCCAAAUGAUAAGAUUACACUUGACACUAUUGCUUUUAAGUUUACUGUUCCAGUGAGGGUAUAAAAUAACCAUAAAAUCAUCCAAUUAUGUGUGUUCAACUAACAACGCAGGCCGGUCAGGACUUUAUGAUCUUCGAGCAGCAGCAGCAUGUUAUUCAACCUAAAAAAGACCAUCUCAGGUUCUAGGUUUCAUCUAUCAAUAUUAAUAUAUUUGAAGUGCAAUCAGGAUCACAUUUUAACUCAAAAUUUCAGGAAGAAAUUGAACACAGCUUACUUGUACCAAGAACCUUGUCAAAAAUUUCACUUGCACUAGUUUGACCAUAUCCAGCUAUGAGAGUACAUACAAGUACAUAUCCCUAAACAAUUCCCACCUCUUACUCAACUGGCAGAUGCAGGGGUUGAGAUAUAGUUUCGCUAUUCACCAAGCCUAAUGUAAACAAGCAGCUUUCUUUUAUCAAGCAUAAACAAGUCGUACUAGAAAAGCAGUAAGAAUGACAGUAGAUAAAAGUUUUUACCAAUAUUCAGUUCUAAACAUCCAAGCACCAAAAAGUCCCAGAUGGAGACUGGCUACUACCAUUAAAAAAUGAAGGCAUAAACAUCAAAGUAAGCUGACAUUUCACCAGUCUGUUGGCUGUUGCAGGGAAGAAUAUUAACUUGUUUUAUCGACUAUUUUCCCAAGAGCUGCAACAGCUUCAGUUGAAGGCACAAAGUAUUAUGAAGUUGAUGCUUAGAACCUAAGAACACAAAGCUCCUAACAACUUGAGCAAUCUGUGGACUACAAAUCACAGUACUCACCCUCUCCUGCCCCAUCAGGGCACGCAGUACCUCCCUUUUUUGAAUUGUACUACUACUACUACCCACAGUGUUUGAUCUUUAAUCAGCAUGUGAGUACAGUUAUAACCACAUAUGGUAGCGCUCAUGACAGAGACACUAUUUGGCAGUCAUCUCUAUUUGAUAAGAUUACAAAAUUCUUUUAUAAGGAUUUGGCAGUCGUAGCUAAAGAUAGUGAGUAACUAAAUUCAAUGUUUUACCGGAAUUACAUAGACAAAUCAAGUUGUUUGAGGGCCAGAGCUCUUCACGUUAUUAAAGAGUAAAAAGACCUCCAUGGACUAGUUAUGCACUACUGAUAGUACCUAGAAAAUACACAGUUCCAAUAAGUUUAGUUUUCUGCAAAUGAUAAUAUUCUCCCCUCUCGUGAGAUCUCUCUUGCCGAAUUUUUUCUAAACCCGCAAAUUUUAAAACCGCAUCACAACGCAUCUCCUUUAAAUCUGCAUAAACCUGCCCCACAAUCAUACCCGCACCGCGCCGCCCCAUAUUUUAUUUUUUUAUUUUUUUGAAAAAUUCAUAACUCCUCUGAAAAUCAUAAUAUUUUCAAAUCUACAACUAAGAAAUAAUAACAACUAGUUUCUAUUAUAUCAUUUUUCACUAAGAAAUUAUCAAAAAGUAUCACGUGUACAAGUAAUAAUCAAAUAUCAUUUUUUUUAAAAUUGAAUAGAGAUAUUAAAAAAAUUAUAAAAUUAUUUAUUUGUAGUGUUAUAUAUGUCAUUUUAAAUAUCAUAAAAUUUUAAGUAAAAAAUACAUAUAAUUUUAGGUAUAUUCACAAAAAUAAUAUUAAUUUUUAAUUUUUUAAAUUUAAACCCGCAUAUACGUGUAACCAACACCGCACCGCACCAUUUAAAAAAAAACUUAC